rnacentral:lncRNA from 1 species
GCACUUCCGGAGUGAGGCAAUGCCUCGCCCUGCUUCGGCUCGCGCACGGUGCGCGCACCCACUGGCCUGCGCCCACUGUCUGGCACUCCCUAGUGAGAUGAACCCGGUACCUCAGAUGGAAAUGCAGAAAUCACCCGUCUUCUGCGUCGCUCACGCUGGGAGCUGUAGAGCGGAGCUGUUCCUAUUCGGCCAUCUUGGCUCCUCCGGCUUACAUUCUUGCUUUCAGACUUGAACUGAAUUAUACCACCAACUUUCCUGAUUUCCCAGUUUGCCAACAGCACAUCACAGGACUUCUCAGCCUCCACAACAUUGAAGUCAUUAAAGAAGCAACCCAUGGCAAAACUAGUUAUUUUCUUAAAACAGUAGGAAGAAGAAAAGCUUUUUGAAUGAAUCACUUCUCAUCUUCUCCGAAGUUGGAAGCAUCAAGAAUCUAAAUAAGCAUUUAUGAUGGCUGGCAUGAAUAUACAGGUGAAGACAGAACAAGAAAACAAACCAAGAAUUUCCCCUCACCAGCCACCAGCUCUGCCAGCAACUUGAUCUUAGACUUCCCAGCCUCCGUAACGUCUUCCUCCUAAAAACCUGUAACCUCAAUCUAAUCAUGAGAAAAGACAUCAGGCAAAUCCCAACUGAGGGAGAUUUUACAUAGUACCUGAGCAGUACUCCUCAAAACUGUCAAGGUCAUCAAAAACAAAGAAGUAUGAAAAACUGUCACAGCCAAGAGGAACUUAAGGAAACAUAAUAAUUAAAGCCUCUGCUUAUAAUCUGUCAUGGAUUGGAAAACUAGAAAAAACAGUUUACAGAGUAUAACAAACUUUGGAGGAGUUAAUCGACUCUAAGUAAAAGAGUAUCUAGCACGGCUGUGGAACAAAGGAGAGACUCACAAACUGUUGAAAGAAUAAAUGAAUGAAUGAAUUCUGUUCAUGAGCUUUAAUAAAACAGCUCUGAGUAGUAACAGUGGAUCAAAUUUAGGCUUCUUGAUGCAGGCAUGGUGUAGAUUACUACUUCUGUAUUGUCCCAGGAGCUCAGCACAUUCCUGCAGAGAUGAUAGGAGCUCAUCUGAUACUUGUCAGCUUUGAAUAAACUCCAGUCCCCAAGAGAGAGAAUGAGAAUCACCGGAAUACGAAACUUCCCUGUUGGACUUCCCAACAUUCUUGAAUGCACCAAGAUAGCCUCUUGCUGUGAGAUUAAUAAAUGAAUAAAUGCCUCCAUAUUUUUCAAAUCUGUGAAGUUAACAACAUGUAGAUUUUUUUGCAUAUUUAAAAACUGCAACUAAAUCUUAAUGCCUCUGAAGCAGAUGGAAGAAAAUAAUAGGCUUCCAUUAACUGUGUCAAAUUGUAUAGGUCUUGGCCAUCACUGGUCCUGUUGUGAUGAAGGUUUUUUGCCCUUGGAUAUAAUUUAAUUUUCAAUUCUUCUAAUUAUGGUACUUCAGAACAUCAAUAUUUGAGAUGAACUUCUCUAGUGUCAAGGACUGAUUUGAGUUGUGUAAACCCUGAAUAUCUGAGACAGGUCUCGAUUAUUUUAGAAAGUUUAUUUUGCCAAGGUUGAGGAUGUGUGCCUGUGACACGGCCUCGGGAGGUCCUGAGGACAUGUGCUCAAGGUGGUCAGAGCACAGCUUUGCUUUAUACAUUUUAGAGAGACAUGAGACAUCAACCGACAUAUGUAAGAUGAACAUUGGUUCCAUCUGGAAAGGCGAGACAACUUCAAACGAGGAGGGGGCUUCCAGGUCAUAGGUAGAUAAGAGACAAAUGGCUGCAUUCUUUUGAGUUUCUGAUUAGCCUUUCCAAAGGAGGCAAUUAGAGUGAGCAAAAUGAACAAAAUCAAUUAUUUUGAUUCUGAACAAAAUGGGAGGCUGGUUUUCCCUAAGCAGUUCCCAGCUUGACUUUUCCCUUUAGCUGAGGGAUUUGGGGGGCCCAAGAUUUAUUUUUCUUUCACCGUUGUAUCAAACUACACAGGCGGCCUUGGAAACCAUCACAGUUGAGAGUAGGUAACGCCCAUUUGUUGCAUAGUUUUGUGCUCCACACUCUUAUCUACAAAAUUAUGAAUUUUUUUACAUAUAUUAAUUUCAGAAAAACUAAAAAUAAAACAAAGUAGUUUCAAACUAGUAUUGUUUUUAUAUCUUAAAAAUAAAGCUUUAUAUACUCUCCUUAC